rnacentral:rRNA from 1 species
CCCUCCACUCUCGGAAGCGAGCGUGCUAACAAGCGUUGCGUUGCCGCUGACAAGUCACUCUCCGUAGUGGCCGUCACGUCAAAGUCGCUGUUGGUCUGUAUAUGCCUCGCCGAGGGAAGCAGGUGGCUAGCGGCGAGUAGGUCGGUCACCCACCCGACCCGUCUUGAAACACGGACCAAGGAGUCUAACAUGUGCGCGAGUCAUUGGGUCUUGAUUAGGCCCAGAGGCGCAAUGAAAGUGAAGGUCGGCGCAUGCCGUCCGUGUUGGGAUUCUCUGCUUCGGCAGAGACGCACCAUCGACCCGUUCUAUCCGAUUCAUCGGUUGGGCGGAGUCUGAGCGUACACGUUGGGACCCGAAAGAUGGUGAACUAUGCCUGGGCAGGACGAAGCCAGAGGAAACUCUGGUGGAGGUCCGUAGCGGUUCUGACGUGCAAAUCGAUCGUCAGAC